GUCCCGGUCAUGAAUCUCUCGGUCACCUGAACGCCCCUCUCCUGUCAAUCACAGAGCAGUGACGUCACACACAACUCUUUUAUGACUCGAUGCAGCUGCCAGCAAUGACCUCUGACCUUUGUCCGUGAGCGUGCUGCAGCUGACGUGUUCGGUCAGGACGGUUCCGAACGUUUGAAGUUUUUGGACUAUUUUCUGGUAGACGUGCACGUCGUCCCUGCCGCCACGGAUACUUCCGCAGAAAUAAAUCUUCAUGUUUUCUUCCUUCCUGAAAAGUUUCCCACUGGUCACGAGUGCUCGAGCUCCCGCGUUUUCAACUUGGCGACGUCACAUCCGGUGGGUUUGCGGGUCCUCCCAGGAAUGUGACGCAUCGGCCGGAAACACCGACGAGCCAAUCACAGAGCAAGCCCCGCCUAUUGUGCUGACACCAGUUUCCGGAUGGCGCUCCAUUUAAAGCAAUAUAAAGUUUUUCUAGACAAAAGUGUCAUCGUCGUUAAAGUCUGCUUUAGGAACACUAACAAGCGAGACGGUUUUAAUUAAAUAGGUGUUUUCUUUUAUUCCAUUGCCAUAUCCAGGAAAUACGAAAGAUUACAAAUGUAACCCAUAAGCGGUUUGGAUCAUCAAUGACAUGACGUCAUCGGCAAACAAUUCAACAAUAUUCGUCUGCCUCAAGUGCUGGCUGUCCAGAGUCGGGACCCGGGGUGGACCGCCUGCCUGUGCAUCGGUUGGGGACAUCUCUGUGCUGCUGACCUGUCUCCGCUCCGGAUGGUCUCCUGCUGGCCCCACAGUACACUGAACUCUCACUCUUAUGUUAGAUCCACUAUGGACUGGACUUUCACAAUAUUAUGCUAGACCCACUCGACAUCCAUUGCACCGGUCACCCACAUCUGCGGUCCCCUCUAAGGUUUCUCAUUGUCAUUACCAUGAAUUGAUUAACGUGGACCCCGACUUAAACAAGUUGAAAAACUUAUUCGGGUGUUACCAUUUAGUGGUCAAUUGUACGGAAUAUGUACUGUACUGUGCAAUCUACUAAUAAAAGUAUCAAUCAAUCAAUCAAUCAAUCCCACUGCAUUGAGUUUUUCCUUGCCCUGAUGUGGGAUCUGAACUGAAGAUGUUGUUGUGCCUUGUGCAGCCCUUUGAGACACAUGUGAUUUAAUGCUAUAUAAAUAAACAUUGAUUGAUUAUCAUACAUAACAAAAAAAAACAUUUUAUUAAAAUAAAAAUUAUUGUCUGAA